UACGUAGGGGGCAAGCGUUGUCCGGAUUUAUUGGGCGUAAAGCGCACGCAGGCGGUCUCUUAAGUUUCGAGUGACAGGUCAGGGCUUAACCCUGGCAGGCCUUGGAAAACUGGGAGACUUGAGGGCUUCAGAGGGACGCGGAAUUCCAGGUGGAGCGGUGAAAUGCGUAGAUAUCUGGAGGAACACCGGUGGCGAAGGCGGCAUCCUGGACCAACACUGACACUGAGGAGCGAAAGCCAGGGGAGCAAACGGG
rnacentral:rRNA from 1 species